rnacentral:rRNA from 1 species
CCUACGGGAGGCAGCAGUGGGGAAUAUUGCACAAUGGGGGAAACCCUGAUGCAGCGACGCCGCGUGAGUGAAGAAGUAUUUCGGUACGUAAAGCUCUAUCAGCAGGGCAGAAAAUGACGGUACCUGACUAAUCCUCCCCGGCUAACUACGUUCCAGCAGCCGCGGUAAUACGUAGGGGGCAAGCGUUAUCCGGAUUUACUGGGUGUAAAGGGAGCGUAGACGGCAGCGCAAGUCUGGAGUGAAAUCCCAUGGCUUAACCAUGGAACUGCUUUGGAAACUGUGCAGCUAGAGUGCAGGAGAGGUAAGCGGAAUUCCUAGUGUAGCGGUGAAAUGCGUAGAUAUUAGGAGGAACACCAGUGGCGAAGGCGGCUUACUGGACUGUAACUGACGUUGAGGCUCGAAAGCGUGGGGAGCAAACAGGAUUAGAUACCCGAGUAGUC